UCACUCUGAGCCUCUACCUGCAGAGCUAAGCGCUGGCUCCCACAGAAGCUAAUGUGCAGUAGUAGUACCGACAGACAGACAGACUGCCUCAUCAUGGACAUAAGAUUGUUUUUUCGAAAAAAGAGCCAAGUUCAGAUUGUCAGUCCAAAGACGGAGAGAUGAAAAAGGGGAAGUAGAGGAGAGAGUGCAAGGUCAGGAAGAACCAGCUGCAUCACAGCUCCACUUGUGCUCAGCUUCUCCAGAGGAAACACCACUGCACAAGAUGCUUCUCCUCCCAGCUGCUGCUCUGUGCUGUCUGUGUUCAGCGCUGGUUGCCAUGGCAGCACAGCUGAUUCAGGACGAUUUGACUUUGACCAGGAGAGUCGGA